AGAGAGAGAGAGAACCAAAUGAACGGGUGAGAGGCAGAGGUGAGAGAUGUGAGAUAUUUUGAAGCAUAAGGGUAAGAUAGUCAUGAUAAAAACAAUUGAGCCUUUAAAGUUGACUUGUGUGGGUAAAAAUAUUAGAAUGGACUUAUUAAGAAGAAAAUGUCUCCAUAUAGGCUUACAUGAAAUUUUCUAUUUUUUUUAAACUAAGUGAUAGGUAUGUUAUACGCUCAGGAAUAGCAGACAAAUGGGUUCAUUACAUAUAAAUCUAUUUUGAGAAAUUUUAUCCUACAUAAGUUCAUUUAAACAUUUUUACUCAUAUAAGUCCACCCGAACUUAAAUUCAAUUUUAAUAUUAGGUAUUAAAGUUCAAUAAAAUUACAGACUGUCAUCCAACAAAAGAAAAAUUAAAUUCUCUCUUAUAUUAACGAAAAUGCCACUAGUGUAAAAUGUCAACAACCAUGCACUCUCCAUUCCGAAAAAGUCUCCGGCUGACUUUCAACGUGUCUCCGGUCAACCUUCGGUGAAGUUUCCGACCGAUCUCCGAUGUGGCUCUUGCCGACCUCCGACGAGGUUUCCGGCCGACUUCCGGCGAUCACAAAAGCUACUAUCACCAACAGCAAAAGCUACUACCCUCAACUACAAAAGCUACUACGGUGAGAUUUCCGACAACCUCCAACGAGGUCAUAAAAGAUACUAUCACCAGUAACAAAACCUAUUACCGUUAUCAAGAAAAGAACUACCGCAAAAGGUCAUAAAAGAUAUUAUCACCAGUAACAAAACCUAUUACCGUUACCAAGAAAAGAACUACCGCAAAAGCUGCUGUCAACAAUAGCAAAAGGUCAUAAAAGAUAUUAUCACCAGUAACAAAACCUAUUACCAUUACCAAGAAAAGAACUACCGCAAAAGCUGCUGUCAACAAUAACAAAAGUUACUACCCCCAGCUACAAAAGCUACUAUGGUAAGAUUUUCGACGACCUCUGGCGAGGUCAUAAAAGAUAUUAUCACCAGUAACAAAACAUACUACCACCACCACCAAGAAAAGAACUACCGCAAAAGCUACUGUCACCAAAAGCUACUACUGUCGGCAAGAAAAGCUACUAUCACAAAAGCUAUUGUCAGUAACACUAAAAGUAUUGCUACCUUUAGUAAAAGCUACUAUUGUUGGCAAGAAUUUUAUAUUAAUGUCUAGGAUGGCCAGGAUUUCAAAACGAAAUAAGAAUGUCCACAUUUUAAUGUACAUAUGAAAAAAACUGAUACUCAAGUACAUAUGAACAUUCGUAGUGCUGAUACUCACAUAACAAGGAGAUAUGCAAAAGAAAUUUGCUAGCGUAUCUUCUUUUACAUUUGGUAAGAAGGGGACCUAAUGUAUUACAUAUGUGCAUUUCUAUCUUGAUAAUAUUAAUACUACAAAUAUAGUUGUCAUACGAUUAAAACAAUGUAAACACCUCUCAUAAGUUUAGCUUACCUAGGGUAAAAAAGGUAAGAAAUCAAUGGUUGAAAUCAUUACCAUGAAAUACUUUCGCAAUCUUCAUUUGAGAUAAGAAUGCACCUGUGGUACGUGGGUCUAAAUCCAACUGGAUAAAGUACUUAAUUAUGAAGCCUUACAAAAUUUGUCAAUUUGAUGCCAAUGCAUGUGGCCCAUGUAUUGUUUUUAGGGGGAAAGCCUUAAACAUGCAUGGAGAUUUCAUGCAGACAAUGGUCCUCCGUCCUCCAUUGUGCUGACCUCCUGAUUUUGAUGGACAGAGUUUUA
rnacentral:lncRNA from 1 species